rnacentral:rRNA from 1 species
GACGAACGCUGGCGGCGUGCUUAACACAUGCAAGUCGAACGAAGUGGCGAACGGGUGAGUAACGCGUAAUCAACCUGCCCUUCAGAGGGGGACAACAGUUGGAAACGACUGCUAAUACCGCAUACUUACGGAGGGGAUUGCGUCUGAUUAGCUAGUUGGAGUGGUAAUGGCCCACCAAGGCGAUGAUCGGUAGCCGGUCGGGGAGGAUGAACGGCCACAAGGGGACUGAGACAAGGCCCAGACGCCUACGGGAGGCAGCAGUGGGGAAUCGUCCGCAAUGGAGGAAAGUCUGACGGAGCAACGCCGCGUGAGUGAUGACGGCCUUCGGGUUGUAAAGCUCUGUUAAUCGGGACGCGGUACCGGAAGAGAAAGCCACGGCUAACUACGUGCCAGCAGCCGCGGUAAUAC